rnacentral:tRNA from 1 species
GGGGUGGUGGCGCAGUUGGCUAGCUCGUAGGUCUCAUAGCUAAAUAAAAGCGAGUGAUCCUGAGGUCGAGAGUUCGAGCCUCUCUCACCCCA